AUCUUGCUGUAGAUCUGUGUAUAGCUGAAGUAUUCUGAAGGAGCCCCAAAUAGCUGCAAAGACAUUCUGUUUUUCAAGCUGGUGCAGAUCAUUUGUGGACUGAGCUGUGCCCAGCAGCACUUCAGCAGAAGAAAGGAGCAUCCUUGAUGUGGAGUACUCUGAGUUAGAUUUCAUCUUGACUUCUCAUUUUAACAAACACUGAGGAGGUGUCUUGAGGUACUCUGUUGUUGCAGCAGCCCAGGUGAAGCUUGUGGAAUCUUUCUGCACCAGCUGCCAGCAGCCUGACUCUCUCAGUGAGAGCUCUAAAGAGCAACAGGUGGGACCUUCCCAAGGCACGCUGGUAUGAGCAGCACUUUGUGGAGAUGAAUUCAAGCUUACUUUAUAGUGAGGCUGCUAUUGGACAAUGUAGUAUGUGUUGAUCUCUUCUCUCAAGACUAUCUAUACAGACAACCUGGGAGCAGCAGUGCAGGAGAAACAAGAUCACAACUGAAUAUGAUAUUCCUGAUCUGUGACUCUGCUGUGCUUCUCUGCUGUGCUUUAAACCCACAGGCAGCUUAGCGCAGAACAGUCCUUUGCUCAGCUGCCACCAGGGGGAUUGAUUAAACUGUCAUAAAAGUAAAACUAAACUGUUUGUCUUUACACAUUGAACAGAAAAGUGAAAACAACUAUAUAUAUAAAACAAGUGAUCACCUGCUAACCAAUGCCUUUCCACUGCCCAAACAGAGGGUGCCCCAUUUGUCAUGGCACUGCGUGGUGUGGAAUAUCUCUUUGGCCAGUUUGGGUCAGCUGUAGCUGUCCUGGUUCUGUCUCCUCACAGGUUCUGAUUUCUAGCUCCUUUCCUGCAGGGCUGUGAGAGAAGCUGGAAAGCCUUUAGCUCAGAGUAAGCACUGCUUAGCAACACCUGAAGCACUGCUGUAUUAUCAACAUCAUUUUUCUCUUAAAUCCAAAGCACAGAAUUAUACCAGCUUCUAUGAAAAAAAAAAAUCCCUGCUGAAACCAGGAUGCUCUUUUAGGUUCACUUUAUUCUGUACUUGUUCUGUUUCUUUGGCUAAGUUGCAAUGGGUAAACAAAUGCAGUUUCAAACUGAACUUCAAAAUCACAAAGUCAGUUGACAAUCUGUACAAUGUUUUCUCCCUUAGUACAUUUCCUUCGUUAGGAAGAUCACAGGCUGACUGAACUCUCCUUUUCUAUGUUCUGCCCAAUGUGUCUAUGUAAACAAAUAUUCAGUUACCAAUUAUAUCGUGUUUGGGACUUAGAAGUAGUAUGUAUGUUUUGUAUAAUUUUUGUGCAAAAUACAGUGAGUUUUU
rnacentral:lncRNA from 1 species